rnacentral:lncRNA from 1 species
GUUCAUGCACAGCCCUCUCUCCCUCUCUCUCUCUGUUCUGCUGUUGCCAAAGCAGAGCGAGGACAGUUGCAGUGUGGGAGUCUAUUUAACCUUUUGCUUUUAAUGCCUCUUUAACAUCUUGGUGGCCUUUGGUCUAGUGUGGCUGGAGUGGAAAUUUCCACCUGGAGACCAGCCGCCUACAACUGAGCUGAAGCCCACUACCUUGACAACAUGGAACAGUGGCGGUCAAGGGGGCCCUCUGCUGGGUGAAGCACGCAACUGCAAGCGGAGUCACCACAGAAACGCCACACUGUGCGCCCAUUUGUUUUCACACUUCAUACAAGGAGCUCUCACUGAAAAAAUGCAGUGGCCACUAGGUGCCACUAAAUCCUACACACUGGUCCUUUAAAGUCCCAGCAGCAGCUCCACCAUGAGCUAACUGCGUCACCAGCAGAGGGCCCCAUCACAUCCAGAGCUGAGAGAGCACUGGCUUCAUCCGACUCAGGCUGCACUUCAUCAGGACAGUGCUCAUGAGACGCUCUCUCUCUCUCUCUCUGUCUUUUUUAAUCUUUUUAAAGAAACUUUUACCCACAUGUGUUAGCUUUCUGCUAAUGGAGGCUGAUUGGUCAGAUCGGAUUACAGCUGAAUGAGAGAUCCUCCCUCAGUGGCAGGUUAGAAAUAUGUAACUCCCCCUCUGUGGGUGGUCCAUAAUUAUACAUGAUUUUAAAUCCUCAUAAAAUUAAAGCAAGUUAUCAAAAAAACUUGGCUUUUGAUGCCUGCCUGUAAAGUGUCUCAGCCCCAUAGACUUCACUUGUUUUGGUGCAUGGACAUGAAAAAGACAUUUAUGACCUCAUCAAUCAGAGUUAAAACAUGGCUUUGAAAAGUAACUACAAAAAAACGCAUUACUAAUAACAAUAAUAAUAAUAACAAUAAUAAUAAUAAUAAUAACAAUAACAACAACAACAACAACAACAACAACAACAAUAAUAAUAAUAAUAAUAAUAAUAACAACAAUAAUAAUAAUAAUGCUUAUUAUUGUAUUUUUGCCAUGGA